UCGUUUUUAAACAUAGCGUCUUGUGCAUCUCAUUAUUGCAAUGAAAAAGUAUAUUUCUGUGAUUGAAACCAUCCAGCCUGUGUUGAUUUGCUAUAGCAGCUCUACCAAACUAAUACAUCUGCCCUGACAGAAAGACAAACAAUCCUAUCUUGUUUAUACUUCCUUAGGAUGGAGUCUGACUCUUGUCUCCUUGCUUUGGAGAAAGCUUUGUUCAGAAACGAUAUCCUGGAAUAAAGAUUGGCUGUUAUUGUUAAAGCUAGCACUUUAGCACUUGAACUAUAACUCCACUUCCGUUUUUUUCCUGAUUAAUUGGAGAUUAAAGUGUCUCAUGGACUUUUCUUUGAACCAUGAUCCUCAGAUCUCAGCCUCCUGAGUAGCUAGGGUUACAACCAUGAGCCGCUAGCAUCUGACCUCUUGGUUAUUUUUUGAUUCUUUCAUAUUUGUAUGAAAAGAAUACAUUGAAUACCUAUUUAGUGUUAAGGUUUCUAUAUAGCUAUUAACGUUUAUAAUUAUGCUAUUCAAAUUCCUGUUACCACUAAUUAUUGUUUUUUUUCCUACUUGUCUAUGGAUUUGGGAGAAAACAAUUCAUUUUGAGUGUCUGCCACAUGGUUAAUUGGAGACAGAAUCUCACAGACUUUUCUGCUCAGCUGACCUCAAACCACAAUUCUCCAAAUCAGCCUUCUGUGUCUCUAGGCUUACAGUGGUCAAGAUCACAGUCAUGAAGUGGCUGCCCAGUGGUAGGAGCAUGGUGCUUAUUGCUUAAUUCGUAUGGUCAAAGGAAAAAAGUGAGUAAGAGGCAGAAACUGAGAUCAGAUAGUGUCUCUUCAAGACCAAAAUCACCAACCACCUUACUGGGGAGGACUGGGAGCAAGGAAAAUUCUGUGAGACUUCAUCUUCAAUUAACCAACACACAACUAGGCUGGAGAGAUGGCUCAAGUGAUAAAGCAUCAGCCAUGAGCAAACCUGAGUGAGAGCAAAAAGCAGAAUAAGAGCUCCUUGAAGAACGAUUGACUCAACUACUGGGAUAGGAUUCCUAAUGGCCAAAGCUGGAAAAAUUUUAAGACAAAAAGAAAGGAAUUGAGAACUGGCUGCUACUUCCUCUGAACUGUGCCAUGUCAUAUCAGACCAGGGGUUGGGGAGAUGUGAAGAAACAUGUCUGAAAAGAAGUAAUGAAGACAAUAUGAAAAUAUUAGUAAUGGAGAAGAGAAGGAAGAAUUGGCCCAUGGAUCCUGUCUAGACACCUCAGUACCACUACUCAGUUCUUGUCACAUCACAGGAUUCAGCAAUCACCCUGAAACAAAUGGAGCAGGAGAGACUAACCUGAGUCUACCCUCAAACUACACCCUCUAACAUCUAAUCAACAAAAAAUCUCAACAGUGGUGAAAGCCAACUUAUCUGUUCUGUUCUUUUCUUUUUGCCAAUCCUUGGGCUUGAACUCAGGGCCUGAGCACUGACUGUCCCUGAGCUU